rnacentral:rRNA from 1 species
UUAAGUUAGAAAGGGCGCACGGUGGAUGCCUUGACACUAGGAGUCGAUGAAGGACGGGACUAACGCCGAUAUGCUUCGGGGAGCUGUAAGUAAGCUUUGAUCCGAAGAUUUCCGAAUGGGGAAACCCACCAUACGUAAUGGUAUGGUAUCCUUAUCUGAAUACAUAGGGUAAGGAAGACAGACCCAGGGAACUGAAACAUCUAAGUACCUGGAGGAAGAGAAAGCAAAUGCGAUUUCCUGAGUAGCGGCGAGCGAAACGGAACAUAGCCCAAACCAAGAGGCUUGCCUCUUGGGGUUGUAGGACAUUCUAUACGGAGUUACAAAGGAACGAGGUAGACGAAGCGACCUGGAAAGGUCCGUCGUAGAGGGUAACAACCCCGUAGUCGAAACUUCGUUCUCUCUUGAAUGUAUCCUGAGUACGGCGGAACACGUGAAAUUCCGUCGGAAUCUGGGAGGACCAUCUCCCAAGGCUAAAUACUCCCUAGUGAUCGAUAGUGAACCAGUACCGUGAGGGAAAGGUGAAAAGCACCCCGGAAGGGGAGUGAAAGAGAUCCUGAAACCGUGUGCCUACAAAUAGUCAGAGCCCGUUAACGGGUGAUGGCGUGCCUUUUGUAGAAUGAACCGGCGAGUUACGAUCCCGUGCGAGGUUAAGCUGAAGAGGCGGAGCCGCAGCGAAAGCGAGUCUGAAUAGGGCGUUUAGUACGUGGUCGUAGACCCGAAACCAGGUGAUCUACCCAUGUCCAGGGUGAAGUUCAGGUAACACUGAAUGGAGGCCCGAACCCACGCACGUUGAAAAGUGCGGGGAUGAGGUGUGGGUAGCGGAGAAAUUCCAAUCGAACCUGGAGAUAGCUGGUUCUCCCCGAAAUAGCUUUAGGGCUAGCCUUAAGUGUAAGAGUCUUGGAGGUAGAGCACUGAUUGGACUAGGGGUCCUCAUCGGAUUACCGAAUUCAGUCAAACUCCGAAUGCCAAUGACUUAUCCUUAGGAGUCAGACUGCGAGUGAUAAGAUCCGUAGUCAAAAGGGAAACAGCCCAGACCGCCAGCUAAGGUCCCAAAGUGUGUAUUAAGUGGAAAAGGAUGUGGAGUUGCUUAGACAACUAGGAUGUUGGCUUAGAAGCAGCCACCAUUUAAAGAGUGCGUAAUAGCUCACUAGUCGAGUGACUCUGCGCCGAAAAUGUACCGGGGCUAAAUACACCACCGAAGCUGCGGAUUGAUACCAAUGGUAUCAGUGGUAGGGGAGCGUUCUAAGGACAGUGAAGUCAGACCGGAAGGACUGGUGGAGUGCUUAGAAGUGAGAAUGCCGGUAUGAGUAGCGAAAGACGGGUGAGAAUCCCGUCCACCGAAUGCCUAAGGUUUCCUGAGGAAGGCUCGUCCGCUCAGGGUUAGUCAGGACCUAAGCCGAGGCCGACAGGCGUAGGCGAUGGACAACAGGUUGAUAUUCCUGUACCACCUCUUUAUCGUUUGAGCAAUGGAGGGACGCAGAAGGAUAGAAGAAGCGUGCGAUUGGUUGUGCACGUCCAAGCAGUUAGGCUGAUAAGUAGGCAAAUCCGCUUAUCGUAAAGGCUGAGCUGUGAUGGGGAAGCUCCUUAUGGAGCGAAGUCUUUGAUUCCCCGCUGCCAAGAAAAGCUUCUAGCGAGAUAAAAGGUGCCUGUACCGCAAACCGACACAGGUAGGCGAGGAGAGAAUCCUAAGGUGUGCGAGAGAACUCUGGUUAAGGAACUCGGCAAAAUGACCCCGUAACUUCGGGAGAAGGGGUGCUUUCUUAACGGAAAGCCGCAGUGAAUAGGCCCAAGCGACUGUUUAGCAAAAACACAGCUCUCUGCGAAGCCGUAAGGCGAAGUAUAGGGGGUGACACCUGCCCGGUGCUGGAAGGUUAAGGAGAGGGGUUAGCGUAAGCGAAGCUCUGAACUGAAGCCCCAGUAAACGGCGGCCGUAACUAUAACGGUCCUAAGGUAGCGAAAUUCCUUGUCGGGUAAGUUCCGACCCGCACGAAAGGUGUAACGAUUUGGGCACUGUCUCAACCAGAGACUCGGUGAAAUUAUAGUACCUGUGAAGAUGCAGGUUACCCGCGACAGGACGGAAAGACCCCGUGGAGCUUUACUGUAGCCUGAUAUUGAAUUUUGGUACAGUUUGUACAGGAUAGGCGGGAGCCAUUGAAACCGGAGCGCUAGCUUCGGUGGAGGCGCUGGUGGGAUACCGCCCUGACUGUAUUGAAAUUCUAACCUACGGGUCUUAUCGACCCGGGAGACAGUGUCAGGUGGGCAGUUUGACUGGGGCGGUCGCCUCCUAAAGUGUAACGGAGGCGCCCAAAGGUUCCCUCAGAAUGGUUGGAAAUCAUUCGUAGAGUGCAAAGGCAUAAGGGAGCUUGACUGCGAGACCUACAAGUCGAGCAGGGACGAAAGUCGGGCUUAGUGAUCCGGUGGUUCCGCAUGGAAGGGCCAUCGCUCAACGGAUAAAAGCUACCCCGGGGAUAACAGGCUUAUCUCCCCCAAGAGUCCACAUCGACGGGGAGGUUUGGCACCUCGAUGUCGGCUCAUCGCAUCCUGGGGCUGUAGUCGGUCCCAAGGGUUGGGCUGUUCGCCCAUUAAAGCGGUACGCGAGCUGGGUUCAGAACGUCGUGAGACAGUUCGGUCCCUAUCCGUCGUGGGCGUAGGAAAUUUGAGAGGAGCUGUCCUUAGUACGAGAGGACCGGGAUGGACGCACCGCUGGUGUACCAGUUGUUCUGCCAAGGGCAUAGCUGGGUAGCUAUGUGCGGAAGGGAUAAGUGCUGAAAGCAUCUAAGCAUGAAGCCCCCCUCAAGAUGAGAUUUCCCAUAGCGUAAGCUAGUAAGAUCCCUGAAAGAUGAUCAGGUUGAUAGGUUCGAGGUGGAAGCAUGGUGACAUGUGGAGCUGACGAAUACUAAUAGAUCGAGGACUUAACC